UACGUAGGGUGCAAGCGUUGUCCGGAAUUAUUGGGCGUAAAGAGCUCGUAGGCGGUUUGUCGCGUCUGCUGUGAAAACCUAAGGCUCAACCUUGGGCUUGCAGUGGGUACGGGCGAGCUAGAAUUCGGUAGGGGAGACUGGAAUUCCUGGUGUAGCGGUGAAAUGCGCAGAUAUCAGGAGGAACACCGGUGGCGAAGGCGGGUCUCUGGGCCGAUAUUGACGCUGAGGAGCGAAAGCGUGGGGAGCGAACAGG
rnacentral:rRNA from 1 species